rnacentral:lncRNA from 10 species
UGCAGAGGGAGGAGUUCCCAAAGAGGAAACGGCGCAGGAACAGCAAAUGCAGAGAGGAUGCACACUCUGAAGAGGGCAGGCAGCUUCUGCACCGAGGGAGCAAAGGGGCGUGUCAGGGGCAGCUGCUGGAAGGAGGCGCAAGCACCACGGAGAGUCUGGGAUGCCCAGCCAAGGAGCCCUGGAAGGGUUGCCCUGGGGACUGACACUGUGGGCUCUGUGUUUUAGCCAAGUCACCCAGGCAGCUGAACAGAAGAUGGACUGGAGGGAGAAGCCUGGAUGUAGGAUCGCUCAGCAACAAAGGAGCCAGAAAAGGCAAGGUGUACACACCGUGUGCAGCAUGGGCGAGCUGCAGGCAUGCAGGAGCUGUAACGCUCACUGCGAAGAUCUGCAGCUUCACUCCUGAGCCCAGCGAGACCGUGAACCCACCGGGAGGAACGAACAACUCCAGACCCGCUGCCUUAAGAGCUGUAACACUCACUGCGAAGGUCUGCAGCUUCACUCCUGAGCCAGCGAGACCACGAACCCACCCGAAGGAAGAAACUCCGAACACAUCUGAACAUCAGAAGGGAUAGACUCCAGAUGCGCCACCUUAAGAGCUGUAACACUCACCGCGAGGGUCCGCAGCUUCAUUCUUGAAGUCAAUGAGACCAAGAACCCACCAAUUCCGGACACAAAAUGACACAGUCCCUGCCCACAUGGAGCUGACAUUCUCAUGGAGAGAAAGGGACAAAUAAACAAAUGUACAAUACUCCAAGUAGUCAUAGUGCUGUGAAGAAAAUAAAGUGAUACAAGGGAACUAUGAGAACCUUGGGAAUGGGGGCGCUGUUUUAAACAGGCCCAUUUGGAAGUUUCUCUUUCCUUUGAGCCAAGUCCUGAAGGAAAUGAGAGAGGGAUAUGGGGGGAAGAAUGUUCCAGGCAGAGAGAUCAGCCAGUGCAAAGGCCCUGAGGCAGGAGUGUGCCCCAAGGGGUGUAGGAACAGUGUGGAGCUGGUAGGGCUGUGGCAGAGUGAGGGUGAGAGAGAAAGGAAGGGGGUGAUGGGCCUGGGGGGCAGACCAUGCUGAGCAGCGGCUUUUAAUUUUUAUUGAUUACAUCUUCCAUAAGAAAUCAGUUUUAUAUGGCAAUCCAAGACAGAUAUCCACAUAUAAACAUACAACUGAGAUAAACUAUAUGUGUGCACUCUGAUAUAUUUUAUUUUAUUUUAUUCUGUUUCAUUAAAAAAUAACAUGAGUAAUGAUCUUCAAAUUGAUUUCCUGG